CCUACGGGAGGCAGCAGUGGGGAAUAUUGCACAAUGGGGGAAACCCUGAUGCAGCGACGCCGCGUGAGUGAAGAAGUAUUUCGGUACGUAAAGCUCUAUCAGCAGGGAAGAAAAUGACGGUACCUGACUAAGAAGCCCCGGCUAACUACGUGCCAGCAGCCGCGGUAAUACGUAGGGGGCAAGCGUUAUCCGGAUUUACUGGGUGUAAAGGGAGCGUAGACGGCAGCGCAAGUCUGGAGUGAAAUCCCAUGGCUUAACCAUGGAACUGCUUUGGAAACUGUGCAGCUAGAGUGCAGGAGAGGUAAGCGGAAUUCGUAGUGUAGCGGUGAAAUGCGUAGAUAUUAGGAGGAACACCAGUGGCGAAGGCAGCUUACUGGACUGUAACUGACGUUGAGGCUCGAAAGCGUGGGGAGCAAACAGGAUUAGAUACCCCUGUAGUC
rnacentral:rRNA from 1 species